CGUAUAUGAUGAGAUUUCGGUAGUGCUGCGAACUCCCGAAUGCGCAGUGGGGAAGCCAACCUUGGAGAGCUGAGCGUGCG